rnacentral:rRNA from 1 species
CUUGGUCAUUUAGAGGAAGUAAAAGUCGUAACAAGGUCU